AAACUAACAAGGAUUCCCCUAGUAACUGCGAGUGAAGCGGGAAAAGCUCAAAUUUAAAAUCUGGUGGUCUUUGGCCAUCCGAGUUGUAAUCUAGAGAAGUGUUAUCCGCGCUGGACCGUGUACAAGUCCCCUGGAAUGGGGCGUCAUAGAGGGUGAGAAUCCCGUCUUUGACACGGACUACCAGGGCUUUGUGAUGCACUCUCAAAGAGUCGAGUUGUUUGGGAAUGCAGCUCAAAAUGGGUGGUAAAUUCCAUCUAAAGCUAAAUAUUGGCGAGAGACCGAUAGCGAACAAGUACCGUGAGGGAAAGAUGAAAAGAACUUUGGAAAGAGAGUUAAACAGUACGUGAAAUUGUUGAAAGGGAAACGCUUGAAGUCAGUCGCGUCUGCCAGGGAUCAACCUUACUUUUGUGAGGCGUACUUCCUGGUUGAUGGGUCAGCAUCAGUUUUGGUCGCUGGAUAAAGGUCAGAGAAAUGUGGCACCUUCGGGUGUGUUAUAGUCUUUGAUCAGAUACAGUGGCUGGGACUGAGGAACUCAGCGCCGCAAGGCUGUCUUAGGAUGCUGGCAAAAUGGCUUUAAUCGACCCGUCU
rnacentral:rRNA from 1 species